AUGUCGAUGCUGCUAUAACUAGUAAUCUCCACCCCCCUCUUUCCCAGGGAGAGAGGCCUGCUACUGCCUGCCACAUCCUGCUCGCCUUCUGCUUGGCACAGAGGGGUGUCAUCCAGGAUCUUGCUUCAGACAUAUAAGGUCAAAGGAGAGAGGUGGUCCCUGGAAUUCUCUGAUGAACUGGCUUGGGUCCUCUAAGGAUCUACCUAACCAGGUUGAGGUUGGACAAAGAAAAAUGGGUGUCAGCUCUAGUAAUUCCUUGAAGCCCACCUCCUACUUGAAGCAAAGAAGCUCUGACUGCACUAUUGUGUUUUGUGGCAAAGGGGAACGUAUCUUUAAUGUUUUGUGGAGCUGACCUCAUUUCUUUUAUUCGGACUCCUCAGAAUAUAAAGUCAUCUCCCUGAGCAGGAUCAGGAAUCUUCACAGUGUAGCCAAAUUGACUCCUCCCAAAUAAAAGUGAUACUGAAAAGUUUGGAACUAGCCUUCCCAGAAUGUGCCAUUUUGGCUGGUGGAAGACUUUCAAUGGACGUCAAUCAAGGCCCAACAGACUCAGGAAGAGCUUUUUGUCUCCUCAACUGCCUCAAAGAAUUAAAACAGAAGACCUGGUCCAGGAAGAGAACCAUCACCAGGGAUAACCAUGAAGGGUGUGGGAAGAUUGUGGGGCGGGGGCAGGGCGGGAGGGAUGGCAGAAGGGCCUGUUUUUUCAAAGUCCCCUCUGUGCCCCUUUGUCUCUGCCUGGCAUGGCAAACAUUUAUCAGACAUCUGCUCUUGGCAUCCUCCUGGGAACUGUCUUCCUUGCCUUUGAAGCCCCAGGCCCCACUCUCUUCUGAGCUCAGGAUGGCAUAUAAGCCUCAGCUGCCUGAGUGUCUGGGGGUAUCAUCAUGUCUUUUUGGGGCUCCUGCAUGGAAAAAUUUUUUUCUCCUCUGAAUCUGUUUUAUGUCAGUUUAACCAGCCAAAGAACCUAGAUGAUAAGAAGGGAAAAGUUUUCCUCCCUUACAAUUCCUAAAGACAACUGCAAAAUCUAGGUACUACAGAUCUGAUAUUGUGCUGAUGAGCUGAAAAAUGACAGCUUACACCCAGCAUAGUGCUUGGUACGUGGCCCAUGUUCAAUUAGUGUUUGAGUGUUUAAUGUAUCACUUACUUGUGUGCCAGUGCUCUUUCAGAUUAAGCCAGAAAAUGAAUCCCUAUUUUUACGUGGAAAGGAAUUUGCCCUGAAUAAGGAAGAGCUUUCUAAAAUCAAAGUUGUAUAGAAAUUAAAAUGAUUCGGAAGAUAGUGAUUUUUCUGUCAUUGGUUGUUUCCAAGAAAUCUGGAUAGCCCUAAUACAAGGGAAUGACAGGAUUGGGGCUAGAUGGUGAGUCAAAAUGCCAGAUAGCUCUGAAGUUCAUAAUCAUAGCUGCAGAAAACUUGUUUAGCUACAGGAAAGUAUGACAGACCUUCAGGCAGUGUUUGGAUUGCCCUAGAGCCCUUCAAGUUAAAAGCUCAACCUUCUAUAAUCCAUCCAAGUUGUAAGUAAAAUGGAGAAAGGAGAGGAUGAGAAAGUUAGUUAAAUAGUUUAAUCAGAGCAGUUUUACAAUUCUAAAAUUAACAAGCAAACUUGUAAUAAAAGAGCUCCAAUGUUUGCAAAAUGACCUUGCUUCCCACUCUGAAUCUGUCUUUUUAUUUGUAAAGAUUCGCAUUACAUUUAAAAGGACUCAAAAUGGAGUGAUUGAUAUUCUCAUCCGUGUUUUUUGAUGCAACUGAUGAAAUCCCUGAAUGGAUAUUGCUUCAGCUUUGAUAUUAAAAAAUGGCCUGACAAGAAGUCCUUAAUCAACAGCUGAUCACAGGUGGCCGAAAGAAAGAGAAAAACCCAAAACUACUGUCAAGUUCAUAACGUAUCACAUUGUUGGUGGAUGACACUGGCUCCAAAGAUACAAUUAAGCCCACGACACUUUAUUACUAUGAAUAUAAUUAUCAUGAAAGUUCUCUCACGUGGAUCAACUUACUUUGGAAGGUUUUCUUGGUUCGUUUAAACUUGCAUAAUAAACAUGCAAUGAAUUAUUUCUUUUGAAAGUGUAUUUUUUGCAGUCUUUUUGUGUUCAUACAAAGAUUUCAUAAAGUUGCAGUGUUGCAUCAGAGCAUUACCAAAAUAAAAGCAGGAGCACAUGGGGAGGGAAAAUGUGAAUGAGAAGAACCUCCUCUCGUCCUGAGACAGGCCACCCGUCUUUUUAAAAAGGUGUGUGCAAACUGCUUUUCUUACCCUCUCCCACCAAAGAAAAGCAUGAAAAAAAAAAAAACCCUCACAAAAAUCAAUCUAAGAAAAAAACGUCGA